UACGGGGGGGGCAAGCGUUGUUCGGAAUUACUGGGCGUAAAGGGCUCGUAGGCGGCCAACUAAGUCGGAUGUGAAAUCCCCAGGCUUAACCUGGGAACUGCAUCCGAUACUGGAUGGCUUGAAUCCGGGAGAGGGAUGCAGAAUUCCAGGUGUAGCGGUGAAAUGCGCAGAUAUCAGGAAGAACACCCGUGGCGAAGGCGGCUCUCUGGGACGGUACUGACGCUGAGACGCGAAAGCGUGGGGAGCGAACAGG
rnacentral:rRNA from 1 species